UUUCUACUCCCUCCGUCUGAAAAUACUUGUCAUCAAAAUGGAUAAAAAGAGAUGUAUCUAAAACUAAAAUACGUCUAGAUACAUUUCCUUUUAUCCAUUUUGAUGACAAGUAUUUCCGGACGGAGGGAGUAUUUG
rfam:Triticum aestivum genome assembly, contig: Triticum_aestivum_CS42_TGACv1_scaffold_163378_2DL